UACGGGGGGGGCAAGCGUUGUUCGGAAUUACUGGGCGUAAAGGGCUCGUAGGCGGCCAACUAAGUCGGAUGUGAAAUCCCCAGGCUUAACCUGGGAACUGCAUCCGAUACUGGAUGGCUUGAAUUCGGGAGAGGGAUGCAGAAUUCCAGGUGUAGCGGUGAAAUGCGUAGAUAUCGGAAGGAACACCUGUGGCGAAAGCGGCUCACUGGACCAUAACUGACGCUGAGGCACGAAAGCUAGGGGAGCAAACAGG
rnacentral:rRNA from 1 species